AGGCAAACCGGGAGAACUGAAACAUCUAAGUACCCCGAGGAAAAGAAAUCAACCGAGAUUUUGUCAGUAGCGGCGAGCGAAAGCGAAAGAGCCAGCAAGUGAUAGCAGCAAAGACAGAAGAAUUGGCUGGGAAGCCAAGCGACACAGGGUGAUAGCCCCGUAUUUUAAGUUUAUGUUGUGGUACUAAACUUGCAACAAGUAGGGCGGGACACGAGAAAUCCUGUUUGAAGAUGGGGGGACCAUCCUCCAAGGCUAAAUACUCCUGAUUGACCGAUAGUGAACCAGUACUGUGAAGGAAAGGCGAAAAGAACCCCAGUGAGGGGAGUGAAAUAGAACCUGAAACCGUGUACGUACAAGCAGUGGGAGCCCGAAAGGGUGACUGCGUACCUUUUGUAUAAUGGGUCAGCGACUUAUAUUUUGUAGCGAGGUUAACUGAAUAAGGGAGCCGAAGGGAAACCGAGUCUUAACUGGGCGG
rnacentral:rRNA from 1 species